AUAAUGAAAAGGCAAACUUAUUGAAAGAUAAGGACGCAAAACUUCAGAUCUAAGGUGAAUUUUAUUACUAGGAUGGCUGAGUUACCGAA
rnacentral:ncRNA from 1 species